rnacentral:rRNA from 1 species
UUCCAAAAACAUCGCCUCUUGCCAAUACAUAAGAGGUCCAGCCUGCCCAGUGACAAAGUUCAACGGCCGCGGUACCCUAACCGUGCGAAGGUAGCAUAAUCACUUGUUCUUUAAAUAGGGACUUGUAUCAACGGCACUACGAGGGUUAUACUGUCUCCUCUUUCCAAUCAGUGAAACUGAUCUCCCCGUGAAGAAGCGGGGAUUAUCAUAUAAGACGAGAAGACCCCAUGGAGCUUUAAACUCACCAUACACCUCUAUGUUACCAUAUCCCAUAGCACAAGAGACCUGUAUGUUAGUUUUAGGUUGGGGGGACCACGGAGCACAACUUAACCUCCAUAACAAAUGGGCUAACACCCUUAUCCACGAGACACAACUCUAAGAAUUACUAAACUAAUGCUUAUGACCCGAUAUUCGAUCAAUGAACCAAGUUACCCUGGGGAUAACAGCGCAAUCUACUUCAAGAGCUCAUAUCGACAAGUAGGUUUACGACCUCGAUGUUGGAUCAGGGUAUCCCGGUGGUGCAACCGCUACCAAUGGUUCGUUUGUUCAACGAUCAAAACCCUACGUGAUCUGAGUCCAGACCGGA